rnacentral:rRNA from 1 species
UACGGAGGGUGCAAGCGUUAAUCGGAAUUACUGGGCGUAAAGCGUGCGCAGGCGGUUUGUUAAGUCCGUUGUGAAAGCCCCGAGCUCAACUUGGGAAUUGCAGUGGAUACUGGCAGGCUGGAGUACGGUAGAGGAAGGUGGAAUUCCCGGUGUAGCAGUGAAAUGCGUAGAGAUCGGGAGGAACACCAGUGGCGAAGGCGGCCUUCUGGACCAGUACUGACGCUCAUGCACGAAAGCGUGGGGAGCAAACGGG